UACGAAGGUCCCAAGCGUUGUUCGGAUUUACUGGGCGUAAAGGGCGUGUAGGCGGUUUAGUAAGUUAAAAGUGAAAGCCCUAGGCUCAACCUAGGAAGUGCAUCCAAAACUGCAAGGCUUGAAUCUCGGAGGGGGUCGGAGAAUUCCUGGUGUAGAGGUGAAAUUCGUAGAUAUCAGGAGGAAUACCAGUGGCGAAGGCGGCCACCUGGCUCGGUACUGACGCUGAGAUGCGAAAGCGUGGGGAGCAAACAGG
rnacentral:rRNA from 1 species